AGAGUUUGAUCAUGGCUCAGGAUGAAAGUUAGUUACGGGUUAACCUGGAAGUGGAGGGGGAGGAUUGGGAUAGGUUGGUAUUCAGAUGGGGAGCGGCGACGGUGAGUAACGCUAUCAACCUUGCCCAUAGUAGGGGACAGCCGGCAAAGUCGAUUAAUUCCCUAUGCAGUCAGAGAGGACAUCUGACCUGGACAAAGAUUCUCGGCUAUGGGAUGGGGAUGCCUCUGAUUAGGUUGCAGGCGGGGUAACGGCCACCUGGCCGACGAUCAGUAGGGGUUCUGAGAGGAAGGUCCCCCACAUUGGAACUGAGACACGGUCCAAACUCCUACGGGAGGCAGCAGUGAGGAAUAUUGGUCAAUGGACGGAAGUCUGAACAGCCAAGUAGGCGUGCAGGAAGACGGCCCUAUGGGUUGUAAACUGCUUUUAUCAGGGGAUAAAGUGAGGUAUGUAUACCUUUUUGCAUGUACCUGAUGAAUAAGGACCGGCUAAUUCCGUGCCAGCAGCCGCGUAAUACGGAAGGUCCCGGCGUUAUCCCGAUUUAUUGGGUUUAAAGGGAGCGCAGGCGACAGUUAAGCGUGACGUGAAAUGCAGCGGCUCACCGUAUGAAGUGCGUCGCGAACUGGCAGUCUUGAGUGAGUACAUGKRSSGAAUUCGUGGUGUAGCGGUGAAAUGCUUAGAUAUCACGAAGAAMYKCCGAKUGCGARRGCAGCCAACAAGSCCUUUACUGACGCUAAAGCUCGAAGGUGCGGGUAUCGAACAGGAUUAGAUACCCUGGUAGUCCGCACGGUAAACGAUGGAUGCCCGCUGUAUGCGAUAUAGUGUAUGCGGCCAAGCGAAAGCGUUAAGCAUCCCACCUGGGGAGUACGCCGGCAACGGUGAAACUCAAAGGAAUUGACGGGGGCCCGCACAAGCGGAGGAACAUGUGGUUUAAUUCGAUGAUACGCGAGGAACCUUACCCGGGCUUGAACUGCAGGAGAACGAUUCAGAGAUGAUGAGGCCCUUCGGGGCUCCUGUGGAGGUGCUGCAUGGUUGUCGUCAGCUCGUGCCGUGAGGUGUCGGCUUAAGUGCCAUAACGAGCGCAACCCCUGCGACUAGUUGCCAUCAGGUUAUGCUGGGCACUCUGGUUGGACUGCCACCGUAAGGUGUGAGGAAGGUGGGGAUGACGUCAAAUCAGCACGGCCCUUACGUCCGGGGCUACACACGUGUUACAAUGGGUGGUACAAAAAAAUGGUGUUCCGCAAGGCCCAUCUAAUCCUAAAAGCCAUCCUCAGUUCGGAUUGGGGUCUGCAACCCGACCCCAUGAAGCUGGAUUCUCUAGUAAUCGCGCAUCAGCCAUGGCGCGGUGAAUACGUUCCCGGGCCUUGUACACACCGCCCGUCAAGCCAUGAAAGCCGGGGGCGCUUGAAGUCCGUGACCGCAAGGAUCGGCCUAGAGCGAAACUGGUAAUUGGGGCUAAGUCGUAACAAGGUAACCGUA
rnacentral:rRNA from 1 species